rnacentral:rRNA from 1 species
AUGCCUCCGCAAAACAAAUCCAGGAAAUUACAUGGAGAGGCUGCUGAUUUUUUUGGUCAAUUAUUCUUCUUCUUUGAUGCAAAGCUAGACGAUGAUGUCGACAUACUUUGUCAAGUAUGUGGCAUGCUUCUACAGUAUGUUAAAUGUGAUGCAGGAGGUCUUGUCAGUCUUUUUGCAACCGUGGAUUACUCUGAAGUGGGACCUUCAGUGAUCAUCAGAGUGAGGAAAUUUUUACACAUGUGUAUUGAUGCUCUCUAUGUCAAGAGGUUUCAGUUGGUUAACCAACCUGAGGCAUCAUCAGAGAGUGAUCUCAUGCCUUUUGUCCAAUUACUUAGAACAGCGAUAUGCUUACUGAGUCACAAGCUUCCAUGGAACUGUGAAGUAAUUGGAUAUCUCCAUCAGAAAAAGGUCUUCUGCUUAUUUCGGGAGAUCAUCAUGGUUGUCGUGCAAAAUGAACGGCAAUUGAAGCAUCGUGAUUUUCUGUCUGCACUUUAUGAAGUUCUUGCACUUGUUGCUUCACAUGUUGGCAACCAUCCAUGUUCUUGUGUACUUUUGGAUCCAAAAUGGAGCUUUUCCUCGCAGAUUCUUACCAUUCCUUUUCUAUGUCAUCGGUUGCCAGAGUUUAUGAAGGUUUUAUCUGCUGAUGAAUUCAAAACAGAGUAUAUGUAUCAGAUAGCUUGCGCUGACGUUCUUCCAAACGACACAUUGGCUAACCAUCCUGGACAAGCAUAUGUACUUUCAAAUGUACUUGACAUUGCGACUUUGAUUUUCUCUGAAUCAGGCUUCGAUUCUGACAGAGCAGCUGGAAUCAUUAAUUUUUGUACCUCAUUGCUUGAUGCGUUCCCAAAAAUUGCAUCAUCUAUUCAAAGUACACAUGUUGAUGGUGCAAUGCCCAUUGAAGCUGAUGAUUUCAACCACCUUGAUGUUGAUCUGCAAAGACACAUAUUGACAUCGGUUGAAUGUUUGGUGAAUGGUGUACUUAGUGGUAUAUCGAGCACAGGUUCUUCUGAUACAGCUGGCCCUUCAAGUGCUAAACUGCAAUUAGUAGGACCUAUCAGUGCUUUUCUUCAUGGCAUGUUAAGCACAGGUUUUGUUGAGGGGAUUAUGACUGUGUUGGUGUACAAUACUGAAAUUGUUCCUGCACUUUGGAACUAUAUAAAGAGCUGCUGCAAGAAUGAUAAACGGAAGUCUUUUCCUGAGCGGGAUACUCCUAGCUGGCUACUACCUUUGUCCAUUUUCUGCUCCAUGUAUAGCCAUAUCUUAGAGUUGGUGGAUAUUGCGGAGUUCAGAGAUUGUAAGAAACCUCUCUCUCUUUCUCUUGAGGAGUUGAAGUCUCUUGUUUCCAUUUUGAAGGAGGCUUUGUGGGAACUUCUGUGGACCAUUCCUGUACAAACCUCUACUUUACAGACAUCACCCACCCCAGGUAGUAAGACAUUGUUGACUGAGAGUCUUAAGCACAGUGCUAGGACUGGACUAUGUGAACUAUUUACAAAGUUGGAGGACUGGAAUAUCAGAAAUUCAUUUGUUGAUGCUAGUGAGUUUUGUUCUAAAGAAGAUUUUAGCGACGAAUUUGUGCUUCAGGCAUCUAUUGCGGGGACUCGUGAAUCAGAAAUUAUAAGACUUGCUCCGUUGUUGGUGCCGUUUGACAUUAGACUCAAAAUUUUCAGUCAAUAUUUGGUAUUCGAUCAGGCACACAUGGCCGACUUUAGACAAGUUCCUGCGCCUCGUACCUUAGAAAUCAGAAGAAACCAAUUACUGGAAGAUGCUAUUCACAAUAUAAGCCUUUUAUCUGUAGAAGAUCUUAAAGGAACGAUUCAAGUGGUUUUCUUUGAUGAGCAUGGCAUGAGGGAAGCUGGAGUUGAUGGUGGUGGUAUUUUUCGUGAUUUCAUGAAUACCACGACUAAGACUGCUUUCGAUGCACGGGCUGGUUUGUUCAUGGAAACAGAUGAUCAUUUAUUAUAUCCAAACCCCGAGUCAAUAUCGACUGCUGGCGAACAUCAUCUUCAGAAGUUUCAUUCUCUCGGAGUUCUACUCGGGAAGGCCAUAUAUGAGAGGGUACCUGUUGACCUGUCAUUUGCAAUAUUCUUUUUAAGGAAGUUGAAAGAGAAGCCUACAUUCUUUAAUGAUCUUUUCUCACUGGAUCCAGUAUAUUAUGACAAUCUAUGUGGUAUGAAGAAGAAUCCGGGGCUUUGGUUGGAUUUUCCAAACCUGCUUCCUGGUGUUGGAGAGAUUGAUGUUAACAAUGAUAAUGUUAUUACAUAUAUGCAUCUUCGUGCCAACGAGAAGUUAAAUUUUCAGGCCUGUAUUCAAACUGCACAGUUUUUGAGAGGUCUUCAACAAUUGAUACCUAAAAAAUGGAUCGAUAUGUUCAAUGAACAUGAAUUUCAGCUUCUCAUAUCUGGCCCUCCGUGCUUGAAUUUAGAAGACUUGCUCUUGAACACGAAAUAUGGUGGGGAAUAUCACGAGGAUCAUGAGGUUAUUGUUAUGUUUUGGAAUGUCUUAAGGAGGUUCAGCCAGAAUGAACAAAAGCAGUUUCUCUUUUAUGUUAUUCCUGGCACAGACGAUACAGGCCGUCUGCCUAGAGCACAUACAUGCUUUAAUGAGUUGAUGCUUCCUCCAUAUCAGAUAAAAGAACAGAUGCGAGACAGGUUGUCAGUGGCUAUAUCUGCGAAUGCUGGUUUUGAUCUCAUGUGA